ensembl:lncRNA
AUGCCGCUGCCCGGGAAGGAGCGCUGGUUUCAGCGCGACGUCUUCGCGCGGUUACUAAAGCAGUUUCUCAAGAAAAUAGCAGGUUACGUACACAAAUGGGAUCCAAUGCCGGCAGUGAGUGCUGAUCAAAAGGUGGAGGAGCCCUCUCCUGAAGGCCUCAAGAGAAGCCACCUAAACCAUCAGGUUCUGGAGGAGUUUGCCCAAAAUAUGUCCGAGAACAUAAUGGAGUCAUUCAAAAGCCAAACGGAGACGCUGGACCGCCGGGCGUCCGGAUUUAAUCAGAGACAGGAGACGUUGGCCGAGGAGUUGGCCGAGGCAGUGAUCCAGGUGGCUCUGCAGGAGGUCUUCAGUGCUCUCAACAUAGCGGAUCACGUGGAGGCUUCCCAGCCGUGGUCCCCCGUCCUGGGAUCCCUCGACUACCCCGACGCCCCCCCGACCACGCCCCUCCUGCCCGAGCUGGAGAGGAGCCGGUGCAGCUUCGCCAGGAAGCUCAAAGGGGGCCUGGCGAAGGUUUACCUGCCCUCACCUCCCCCACCGACCCCGAAGGACGGAGAGGACCCGGACCCGGCCCCCGGGGCCGCCGCCGACUCCCGGGUCGAGUUCAUGGAGCAUCUGACGCGCUCGCUGCCCGCGGAUGAUUUGACGAGGGACUGUUUGGAAGCGGGAUCUCCACGUGGAGCCGAGGUUGAGGCUUUCGCGGAGGCCCUCUCAUGCGACAUCAUCGGUUUGGUCUCGAGGGGUAAAAACAGUGAGCAGAUCGCCGACGAUGACGACCUCCACCUACUGGCCCAACAACUGUCCGAAACCAUCAUCACAUCGUCCCUUCUGCGGCGCUAAAACACUCUUCUAGUAUCCGUGACUCACGGCCUCGUAUUUGUGAGGCCUGGCAAGCAAAAUAAUGGUGUCCACCAACACGCAAGAUCUUCUCAUUGAAACGCGGUUUACUGCAAUGAUGUUGUUACAGAGGCCAAUUUCCUUUUUACAUUCAACGUUUAGUUAAUGCUCCUCCAGAUGAAGAAGAGUUUAACACUUGUUAUUUGCAAGAACUGACCUGGGAUUCCACAACAACUGCAGUGGCUGUGGAUGUCCUGUAGGUGGUGUUACAGAUGCAGCAUUCUCAGCAUGAGGUGAACCCGAGUUCACCUUCGGGCACAAAAUAAAUGCUUAAAUGUUUAUCUGUGUAAAUCUUCCUCAACUUGUGUUGUUUGUCUGGAUUUUGCGUUUUUCAAAUGAUCCCAUAUAUUGUUCAACAGCAAGAAUAAAGAGCUCACACCUGAUAAACACAACUCUAGCAAAGGAUGGAAAUAGCUUUAGAGAUGUUUGAGUAAAAAGGAGCCCUGUGCCGCUUCAUAAUCUUGUGCCAUGCUGCGAGGUUACUCGGUUAUUUCCCCUGGUAAUCGUCCUUGAAAUCUUUAUGGAUCCGGUGAUUCAUUGGUCUCCUGCACUGAGCUGAGCAGACACAUUUGGGAUGAAGCCUGCCACGAAAGAAAUUUAUCUUCAUACUGACUUACUUUGUGAGUUCAGAUCCAGGAGAAGAGGCCUCGGUGCUGAACCACAACAGGGAUGUGAGGCUGCAGAACAAGGAAAAGACGAAGAAAAACAAACUUGUUUUCCUUUCUGUAUUUUCUGUUUCUCUUAAGUUCAGCUUGCCGCAGACACAACACUCAGUAAAUGCCAAAUUCAAAGACAGAAAAGCUGAAGUGAACCAUGAACAAGAGCUUUAUUGUUCCUAUUAAACGGUUAUUGGGCGCAUUAACUCCAAAAACCUCUGGAUGGAAGGGAUUCAGUUUAAAGCCUUGAUGUUUGCAUCAAAACCCCCAAAAAUCUCUCAUUCUCCAUGAAAAGAACUUUGCAAACAUCUAAAUCUGAAGUUCUCUCGAUGCCACAGUUAAUUUGAGCCACACAUGUGCAGGAACAGAGCCCAACACACACACACACACACAUGUUGACCGGUCUGCAGUGUGUGUGUGUGUGUGUGUGUGAGUGAGAGACCCUUGGCUGCAGUGCGUAAUAUGUCAUGCAAUGCUCAGUCUGAACUUUUAAUUCCCACCGCUGAUCGCCAUUAUGUUUUCUCACCACGGGACGCUACCCGACGCACACACACACGCACACACACACGCACACAGAUAGGCUGCAGGGCUGGGCGGACAGCUGAGGAGUCAGAGGACAAACACACGCACACAUCUGGAGAAAUGCUUGCUGUGUUGUCAGGUGGUUGGCUGCCAGAAAGAGAGUAAGCGUGAGGGAGGAGGCGUGAUGACACACAGAGCAUGAACAGGGCCGUGGGGGGGGUUCUAUGGACUGUAAUGGGACCUAAAUGGCCGAGGCACUUCAUGUCUUUGUCUGCUCUAGCGUUGGGUAAACCCUCGUCCACCAGAUGGAACGAGUGGAGUUAAAUGAACAGCACACGUCACCAUAAUAAGUGUCCGUCAUGGAGCGACUUGAAACGCAGCUUUGCUAUUUUUCAACCUAGAAAAAAAUAUUUUCCCCUGUUUUUGUUUUGGGGGGGCACCAAUUUUUGAAAUUGGUGCAGUACUGAAGGAGGCAGCAGCAGCCAAUAAACCGGCUGUAUUGUGAUCACGUCCUGCAAGUCCUCGCCGUCCGUGUAGGUCCAGAGGGACUUGUUCUCGCCACUCGGAGGCUCAGAUUCGUUUCGUGGCUUUUAACUGACACCACGUUGAGGCGCCCUUCACAGUUUUCCAUUUGGCAUAUUAGCAUGCUAACAUUUUGUAGAUGGGACUUAACAGAAGCAAUUAGCAUAAAAACGUCGCUGGGAUGAUGGUAAGUCCAUGGGUAGAGGUCUCCUUGCAGGUGAUAGGUAUGAUUCCAUAACGCUGUUAUGGCCUUGAUGUGUUGAACCAUCAUCCGGACAAAGAAGUUGCAAAUUUGCAGCAGAAUCUGCCCUCAAGGAAUGAACUCCAAACCCAAAACUAUGUGAAAUACAACAUAUCAACUGUACACAGAAAAUAUUUGGAUCUAUUUUCAUCUGCUGUGGAUUCAAACAUCUGUUUUUCUACAUUUAUUUGAGUCCAAAUUGUAUUCAGUCUCACCUGCAGACCUCUGCGUCCCCAUUCCUGGCCACCACGAUCUGUAAUCAGAUGAAACAGAUGGCUUCAACAUCUGGUGUAGGCCCUCAAGUUCAUUUCAAAUGACUCGGGACUAUUUUCCCUCACCAGCUGGGGUUCUGAAAAAGCUCUUGGGGUAAAAAACGUAUUCUGAAAAGACUUGAUUUCCUCACUCUGGACUUGGUUUCAACCCCCCCAGCUUUGCUCCUUUCUCGCUGAAGUCUGAGCGUUAGAGAAAGUCCCGGCCCUUUGAUGGUCUGAUGCGGCCUGACUGCGAGCUCAUCUGUCUCCCGUCCCUGAUAAACAUCUGUGACUGCCGGGCACGCACAGACCGCUAUCCAGCUGUGUGGUGGUGUAAAGGAAACAAAAGAAGGGCGGUUGUUCAGACUACUGGUACUUGGGUAAAGGCACCGGGCGCCAUGAGAUUUAUCAAAUGGUUGUUGCAUGUCUUUGAAGAACGUGAACUAAAGUGGAACUACUUGCCGUCGGCUUGACAUUCUCGCCGCUAGUAUAAGAUUGAUAUCCAUUAACUGGGGUAUUGGUGGUUAACUGACAUCAUAUGUGAGUGUGAGGUCAUGAAAACACAACUUGGUGCCACAAUGAAACUGAAUGUGGUCCGUUUGACUCUAAAUCGACCACAAUUGACUAAAUUAACAUCAUGUUGUGUUGAAGAAGACUUGAAACUAGAGACUGAGACCAUAAACUCAUGUUUACAACGUUUACUGAGGGAAUAAAUCCAGAGAGAAGUCAUUUCCUCAUAGACGUCUAUGGGAGCAGAGGAGUCGC